UACGUUCCCGGGUCUUGUACACACCGCCCGCCAAGUCACUUGAAUCGUCUUCACCCGAAGCCCGUGGCCCAACCCGCAAGGGAGGGAGCGGUCGAAGGUGAGGGGGUAAGAGGGACU
rnacentral:rRNA from 1 species